AAAGUAGGCGAGGUGAUCGCCGGUUGUAAUGAAUCUUCGGAUUUGUUAUUCAACGGGAGGAAAGUCCGAGCUCCACAGGGCGCAGUGCUCCGUAACGCGGAGUCCCGGUGACGGGAAGGAAAGUGCAACAGAAAAUAUACCGUCUCAUCUUUACUGAUGGGAUAAGGGUGAAAUGGCGGGGCCGGAAGGCUUAAUGUAAGAGCCCACCGCUUCGGUGGUGACACCGAAGGCAUGGCAAACCCCACUGGGAGAAAGGCCAAAUAGAGAGGGAUGAAGCGGCCCGCUUCGCUAGACCUCCGGGUAGGCCGUUUGAUCUCGCUGGCAACAGCGAGACUAGAUGAAUGAUCACCCAAGACAAAACUCGGCUUAUUGUCUACUUUCUCA
rnacentral:RNase_P_RNA from 1 species